GUCCUGAUAAAAUUUCAAAAAACCGCCACCAUGACAGGUCGGUCGAUUUUGCUUUGACACUUUGUUAACGCUCAGAGCAGAGCGAAUAUUGACUUGCGGAGUGUGAGCCCGCACGUUUACAGAUAACAAAUCUUCAGAUUUUUAGAAUAUGAGUUUUGCAAAGCAACAAGCAUAUCUUGUAAAGCUUCAUGCAGAAUUUCUCUCCGAUUCUGAGCCAGAAGUUGAACCUUGUCCAUGACGAUGCUAGUUUGGAAGGAGAUUUUGAAGAGAUACAGGACCACGUCGCCGACAUGGAAAAAAAAAUAAGGAGCCAAUCUCAGAAGUCUUGGAUGUUCCACAAAGAGUCUCACAUUUCAUUACAUGUAUACAUAGGUAUCUACUAUGCAGCUCAAACAUUUGUUUUUUAUUAAGUUUGUGUUUAAUUUUUUAGAAAUAGUUGUUUUGUAUUUGUAUAAUUUGGGUUUUUGUGUUUUAUGGUACUCAAAAUGUGAAAAUAUCUGUUAACUUUUAUUUUUAAAGCAUGAGUUUAUAUACAAACGAUACUAAAUUUUUGUGCAAAUGUU
rnacentral:lncRNA from 1 species